AGCACCCGGCCUGCCCGCCCCGCGCACCCCGCUCUGCGGCCGCGGCGGAGGAAACGGGAAGGGCCGGCGCGGCCGGGCGCGCAGGUCAGGAUCUUGACUGCACUCUGGAGCUGAUGGUGUGUUGGGACCCUCACUUCUGCCCGUGCUGGAAGCGGAGCACAUAGACCUGGCAAUGGGAAAUUCCCACAAAUGCGCAGCGACCUUAUACAACUGUGCAAAGUAUUGGAUCAGAUAAAAUAUGAGAAGAAAUUGUGUUGAAGAUGGGACCGACUGCACGUGCAAGCACUUCCAGUGUGGAUCUUCUGACCAUCAGUUAAUAAUUUCACAUCUAUGAAGAACUGUUCUUGUAUAGAAUUGUGAUCCUGCAAUCUUUUUACUGUUAUCAUACAGGGCCACAGAGUUCCCUGUGGAUGAGCGAGUAAGAAUGUCUGAGAUUUGUCUGUUUUGGAAGCAGUGCAACAGUUAGGUGCAAAGGAGGUGUUCUCUUCCCUUCAGG